UGACACCGUCUUCAAUAUAAACAUCGGCGAUUUGUUGAUGGUGAGCAUUAACCACAGUACCGCCUUUGAUCAACAACUUGGAUGAUGAUGGAAUUGAAGGUCCACAGGAAGAAUCUCCGUACCCGAUUCCAGCUUCACAAAACUGAAUUUCAAAAUCCAAAUUCAAAACUCGAUGAUAAGAGGUGUAGAUAUGGGUCGGUGUCGGACACCAUUAGAUAUUUGCAUUCUAUUUCUAGUUACUCCUGGAAAAUGCAAACAAGUGUAGUUAAUUGUUUUCUGUUAAUAAAAUAAACAAAGCUUAGGAGAUUGAACUAAAUCAGAUUGUUAUAUUAGAAUUUAGAUUCACAUCAUUCAUUGAUUAAUACAACAGCUUCCAACAAUUAAAAUACAAACCCUAUUCAAAAUCAAACAAUGGAAGAAAUAAUCUAAAGCCAAACUCAUAAAUAAUCAAACGAUCAUUCAUGAAGGAAUAAUUGAAAUAGAAACAAUAUCAAAACAUCAACAUUAGCAUGUAUGCAUUCUAUAGAACAUAAACAGACACAUGAAAGAUACAUGCGGAACAAACAAUUUAACAGUAAGUGCAACGACAUAAUAGGUAUUAACUCUAUUAUUUUAAUAUUCACCAAACUCUUCCAAGUUAUCCUCCUACAAAAUCCACAAAACAUUAUCAAUGUAAGCAUUGAAAAGUAAAUAGCUCACUACAAGAAAGCCAACAAAAAGUCCUUAAGACGAGUGAAAAAAUGUUCAAAUCAAAAAAAGGCUUCACAUUUUUAGAAAAAUUGUACAUAUUAAUUCAAAAAAUGAAAUAAACGAAUGAACCUGAAUAAUAUGUUGAGCACAAACAAAUCAAACCAAAUCAAAAGAGGCAAACAGAAGAACAUCAUCUCUGAUGACCUCAAGAUUGUUUUUGAUCUAUUUAUGAAAUAUUCAUAGCAAGGGUGUGGUACCUACAAUGUCUCCGACGAUCAUGUUAAUAAUGGAUUCAAAAUAAUGUUGGGAAAUAAAACAAAACCAUCAAAUAGUUCAUCAAUCUAUAACAAAUAAAGAUAGCAAUGAGUUAACAAGCACUUGGUCAAGCAUCCUUAUCCCCAAAGCAGCUUUAGUACAGUGAUGACAUGUCACAGUAAAGUGAGCAAAUCAUGAAACCUUGGUAGGACUAACCACUCUCUGUCAAGAAAAAUCUAAUACGGUUUGGUGUUGGGACUCCAGAAUUACAUUUCAAAAUGAAAACAAUACCACUGACACCCGUAUAAUCAAAGAAAGUGUCAGAAAUAGCUCAAAAUAAACUGCAGAACUCAACCACUCACUGUAUUCGGAAAGUAGCAUUUCGCCACAAUAUUUGUGCAGUAUUUAUAACAAAACAAUCACCUUGUGUAUAUAUAUAGUGAAAACAAAAUGAAAAGAGGCAAACAGAAGAACAUUACCUCAUAAGGACCUCAAAACUGAUUUUAAUCUAUUCAUGACACGUGCAUAGCAAGACUGUGGUAUCUGCCUGCAAAGACUCUGACAAUAUAGUAAGACUUGUGACAUGAAAAGACACUAAGAGUAACGUUUUAGAGUAAAGAAAUUAGCCAGACAUGAUGGAAUUCUAAGCAUAAAAGAGUGACAAUAACCUUUAUGGCAAGUUUGUGAAAAAGGAGAAAGAACAACAUACUUAAUAUCUUUAUAUUUCAAGUUACUUUGUAUGAAUGCAAUGUAUAGGACCUAAACUGCAACGUGAUUAUCGUAUGUAAGAAAUGAGUGGGAUAAAUAAUUUGAUUGUUAGAUCACACAGUAAGUGCAAAAAGACAGAUACAUUACCUGAAGAAGGAGUUUCAUCCUACUCAUCAUGACACAAGCAUAGAUUCAAAAUAACAUUAAAAUCAAUUUGAAAUGAAUAAAAAGUUGUUAGUUACUAUCUAAAUGACAUCAAGAUUGCGAUUUUCCUCGUUCUUUCAGCAUCAAUGGCUUCUUGGGUGUUGUUAAUGAGACGAAACAGUUCUAACCGCAUCUCACCAAGCUCAAUCAUUUCAUUCAUUAACGGUAAGCGUGUUUGCUGCAGUGGUGAGGGAGUAUGAUGAGGUGACGAUAGUGUGAUCAUGUGAGGAAUCUCAUCAUCUAAGAACUUUAUCUUUUGUUUCUUAAUCAGCAUUAAAAUAGAUGAAGAAUAACUCACAAUUUCCAUUGUUUGCGUCAUCUUCGAUUAACCGAAUCACUAGGGUUGAGGCAGGACUCCACACUUCAAACUCAGCCUGACCCAGGAACCAGUUGUCACCCAACAUUUUCACCCUUUGCCCAUUUCCAAUGUUCCAGCAGGCCCUCGAGUCAAUGACACUCAUCCACUCGUAGUUGGGUUGAAGAACGGAUGGUGCUUCCAAUAGGGUAGACCGCAGGCUGCUUCUGUUUUUGAACACUCUAGCAGCUUGUUGAGCAUGAUUUAAGGCGUCCCUGCAUCACUUUCUAAAUCUCAUGGAACCGAUCACAGAUUACCAUAAAAUCAGCAAAAAUGACCUGAACAAGUGAGUAAGGCAGCUAAAUUUAAUAUGGAAGAAAUACUGAAAUUAGACAAAGAACAAGUUCAUUUAAUCAUUGCAUUGAAGAAAACUUAAGGGUAAGUCCGAAAAAAACCUAUCCCUGCAAAAUGGUGCAUCAUGGGAUGCCUUAAAUUGCUAGAAAUAGUAGGAUCAACACAAUCUAAUACAAUGAAAAUGUCACAUACGCUUGCUCCCUGGGCGGGGCCAGUAACAAAAUUCAUAAUGUCAGUAUUAUCCUUUGCAUCUGAAAGAUAUGUGUGAGACAAACAAUUUAACAGUUAUAUCACAGUAAGUGCAAUGACCUCUUCCAAGUUUUCCUCCUACAAAAUCCACAACACAUUAUCAAUGUAAGCAUUGAAAAGUAAAUAAGCUCACUACAAGAAAGCCAACAAAAAGUCAUUAAGACGAGUGAGAAAAUGUUCAAAUCAAAAAAAGGCUUCACAUUUUUAUAAAAAUUGUACAUAUUAAUUCAAAAAAUGAUAUGAAAGAAUGAACCUGAAUAAUAUGUUGAGCACAAACAAAUCAAACCAAAUCAAAAGAGGCAAACAGAAGAACAUCAUCUCUGAUGACCUCAAGACUGUUUUUGAUCUAUUUAUGAAAUAUUCAUAGCAAGGGUGUGGUACCUACAAUGUCUCCGACGAUCAUGUUAAUAAUGGAUUCAAAAUAAUGUUGGGAAAUAAAACAAAACCAUCAAAUAGUUCAUCAAUCUAUAACAAAUAAAGAUAGCAAUGAGUUAACAAGCACUUGGUCAAGCAUCCUUAUCCCCAAAGCAGCUUUAGUACAGUGAUGACAUGUCACAGUAAAGUGAGCAAAUCAUGAAACCUUGGUAGGACUAACCACUCUCUGUCAAGAAAAAUCUAAUACGGUUUGGUGUUGGGACUCCAGAAUUACAUUUCAAAAUGAAAACAAUACCACUGACACCCGUAUAAUCAAAGAAAGUGUCAGAAAUAGCUCAAAAUAAACUGCAGAACUCAACCACUCACUGUAUUCGGAAAGUAGCAUUUCGCCACAAUAUUUGUGCAGUAUUUAUAACAAAACAAUCACCUUGUGUAUAUAUAUAGUAAAAACAAAAUGAAAAGAGGCAAACAGAAGAACAUUACCUCAUAAGGACCUCAAGACUGAUUUUAAUCUAUUCAUGACACGUGCAUAGCAAGGUUGUGGUACCUGCCUGCAAAGACUCUGACAUGAUUUGCAACAACUUAAUGAAAAAUAAUCGCAGCAACUACAUGAUUAAAUCGGAAGUGAAACAUCGUAAAAGGCACACACAUAAUCAGCAGUAUAUCGGCACAUUAUCAAUGUCGAAAUCACGGAUUGAAUAUGAUUUAGCAAUGCAAACAGAAAUUAAACCAGAACAGCAACAGGAGUAUUAUUUACAAGAUUUUACGAGUCCAUUCUGAUGCAGGAACAACAGCAUAUAUACUAUACCAUAUUUACAAUGUAUUACCAGAACAGCAACAUAUAUUGUGCCUUAUUAAACCAGAACAGCAACAUACAUAUUAUACUGAUACAUAUAUUAUGCCAUGAAAAAAAACAAAACCAUUUGUUUACCAAACUUAAGCUAGGAUAAAUAACGUUCAAGAACGAACGUACAACAGUGGUAAACACCAACAUUAAUUUACAAGUCUACAAAGCUGUAAUUGAAACAGUCACGCAAACGAAUACGCAAUCCAAAUUUACAAGUCAAUAGAUGCAUAAUCGCAGCAACUACAUGUUGUCAUGCUUGGUUAACAAACCUAAGGUCUCCUUUAGUCCAAUCUUAACCAAUAAUGAACCAAAGAAAUUCUAUGGGGAACAUGUUAUCCACACAAGUAAAAGAGCUAAAGAAGAAGACAAAUCCAUAUCAAGUCAUGGUGAAAGUAGGAACAAAUUCACAAAGUAAGACACAUCAGGUCAUGAUAAGAGAAAAGUAAUUAGCCAUCCAUAUAAUGUCAUAGGUAAAGAAAUGAUAAUAUAAAGGCAAAGCAGUCCAUAUCAAGUCAUGGAAGAAUAGAUAAGAGAUAACAAAGUAAUCCAUAUCAAGUCAUGGAAGAACAUAUAGAAGGUAGACACAAUAAUCCAUAUCAUGUCAUGGAAAAAAGAUGGAAACUAAACAAAACAUAUCAAGUCAUGACAGGAUAGAUGAAAUAUAAAUAAAGUGAUCCAUAGCAAGUCAUGGAAGAAGAAUGAAAGCAAAUAACAAGUUAUCAAAUCAAAAUGAGCAACAACAUCACACCCAAAUUAAGCAUCAAAGCAUAUGAUCAACAUGUAAAUUUGUAAAGUGAAAUGAACACAAGUGUGGACAGUUUAGACAUAUCCAAUGAUAUGGUAGAUGAAUGAGAUCAAAAACAUGGAAUUAAUAAGGAAAACCAAAAUAUCACAAAGGCAUCAUAUCAAAGCAUUCUCAAGGGUUGACAUAGGUAAUAAUCAAAUUCAAACCCUAGCCAUGCUUCUAAGGCUAAUGGACUCCUAUCAAGUAGAGAUGCAAUAGAAUCUAGAAAAAUGGUAUCAAACCAAACAAAUCAGAACUAUAUGGCAAAUUGAACUUCACAUACAAGUCAAUUAAAGCAUCAUGGAUGAAUCACAUAAGCUAUGCUUCAAACACAGAAUUUAUAUUUGAGGCAUGUCUCCCCACUUCAAACACAGCCUGACACCCAAAGUUUUCAGCCUCUGCCCAUUUCCAAUGUUUCAGAAGGCCCCCCAUGUCAAUGAAUCUCAUUCACUCAGCUCGGUUGAAGACCGGACUGUUAAGCAUGGCCAGCAGCUCAAAUCAAAGGUAAACUUCCUACCAUGCUUUUAAGAUGUUGCAUUUCCUUUCUGUUUCAUCAUACUCAUGAGCAUAGCAUGACACACCAAACCAAAGGUGUGGUACCUGCAAAAACUCCGACGAUCAAGUUAGUUAUGAAUUCAAAUAAUUUUGGUAAAUAAAAGAACAUACUAAUCACAAGCAGAUCAUAACAACUUCACAAUUGCACAAUCAAAUAAUAAUAAUUGAGAAAGAUUGUCCAUAAAACCAUAACAAGGAUAUAUUAAGUCAACCGUGCAAUUUUUCUUAUAGACGACACAAGAAGAAGAUGGCUAAUUUUAAAUGAACUGUAGCCAUGCUGUAACUUCAUUGAAGAAAAACCACUAAAGCAAAUUUGUACAAAUUAGAAAAUAUGAUUUUGGAAGUCAUACAAAAUGGAAUCAUAUUUAGUAACCGUAAAGUUCCUCAACAAAUUCAUAUGGUCCAGUAUGAAAUUAUCAAUAACUCACUUAAGUACCGAGAGUUUGUGCAAUUACUACCUCUACAGCUCCGCCAAUAUAGAAAUAUAAUAAUAUAUCUCCAUAAAUUAUGUAUAUUAGAAUGUAGAUUAAAGCUCCUAAAUGCUAAGACAAAACUAGACCAUAUCAUUAUAUAGAGAGAUAUAAACUUGGCUUGGUGGUUUGAGGAUGGAGUGAGAGAGUUGAGGUUGAUGGUUCUAUUCAUACCCACACCAUAAUAAAACUAACAUAUUAACAUUUGUUAAUAGAAAAAACAACAUCUUCAAAUGCAUAGAAUGUGUUUCCUACGAUAAACGUUACCAUCAUGACUUGAAUUAAAAACAAUUUGCAUUGGAAAUUACUGGCAUUCGACCUAAAUAAUUUUAAAAAAUGACAAAACUUUCCAUCUACCAGAAUCACAAACGUAUGUGAUUUAAUCUAAUGAAGUGCAUGAAACUUAAUACGAGAAAGAGCUGGGAUGCAGACUGGAUUAUGCUUCCAAAUCAAAGGUGACCUGCAUCACUUUCUAUAUCUCAUGGAACCGAUCACAGACUACCAUAAAAUCAACAAAAAUGACCUGAACAAGUGAGUAAGGCAGCUAAAUUUAAUAUGGAAGAAAUACUGAAAUUAGACAAAGAACAAGUUCAUUUAAUCAUUGCAUUGAAGAAAACUUAAGGGUAAGUCCGAAAAAAACCUAUCCCUGCAAAAUGGUGCAUCAUGGGAUGCCUUAAAUUGCUAGAAAUAGUAGGAUCAACACAAUCUAAUACAAUGAAAAUGUCACAUACGCUUGCUCCCUGGGCGGGGCCUAUAACAAAAUUCAUAAUGUCAGUAUUAUCCUUUGCAUCUGAAAGAUAUGUGUGAGACAAACAAUUUAACAGUUAUAUCACAGUAAGUGCAAUGACCUCUUCCAAGUUUUCCUCCUACAAAAUCCACAACACAUUAUCAAUGUAAGCAUUGAAAAGUAAAUAAGCUCACUACAAGAAAGCCAACAAAAAUUCAUUAAGACGAGUGAGAAAAUGUUCAAAUCAAAAAAAGGCUUCACAUUUUUAUAAAAAUUGUACAUAUUAAUUCAAAAAAAGAAAGUGUCAGAAACAAUCCAAUAUUUAUUAUAGAUUUGUGCAGUAUUGACUAUUUGUAACAAAACAAUCACUUAGCAUACAUUCUAAAAACCAAAUGAAAAGAGGCCAUAGAAGAACAUUACCAGUAAUGACCACAAGACUCAUUUUUUGAUCUAUUCAUGACAAGAGCGUACAUACCUUCCUACAAAGACUCGGACGAACAAGUUAGUUAUCAUUUUAAAAUAAUUUUGGGAAAUAAAAAGAGUAACAUUUUAGAGUAAACAAAAAGACGGAAUUAUAAAAACGCAUGAUGUUAUAAGCAUAAAAGAGUGGCAUUCACCUUUAUGGGAAGUCUUUUGAAAGAGGAAAAAGAACAAGAUACAAUUAGAAAGUCCUACUAAACCAAACAUCCUAUUUCUAGUUUCCUUUGGAAGAUACCAACAAGUUAAAGUAACUUACUUUCUAUGAAUGCAUUAUCUAUAUUGUGAGAACCAAAUCAAAAACGGAAAUCACGAUUUCAAACAAAAUUCAAAGUUUACACUUUACUUGUACAAAUUACAAAAGGGCAAUAAUUGUUUUAUAUAUUACUGUCAAAUAAACUUUUUUGAAUAAUAUGUUGGGUCCAUAUACAUGAAAUUCUGGUUUUCAAAAAGGGGUGGCUGUGAAGUAAGUCGACUAACUGUGAAGUAAGUCGACUAAGUGUGAUUGUCAGAGAUGUAAAGGGGUGGCUGAAAAAUGAGGAGAAAAUAUCAUUAUGACGUAGUAAAAUAGUCUAGAGUACUAGACGAUGAAAUGAAACCAGACAUGAUCAGUAUCUGUAUUCCAUUAUUCUCUUCAAUUCUAUUAUUCAGUAAACUAUUUAUUAAAAAGAGCAAAAAUGAGACUAACCACUGGAGGCCUUGAAAGAGCAUGUCCCUCGGGUCCAGUUAUUCCAAGCUCUAUCAUCUUCUUUUGCCCUUCAUCCACAGCAUCUCCGUUUUCUGCAUGGACCAUGGCUAAGGCACCGAGAGACUUGCACUUUUUAAGUCCUUGUAGAAGAAGCUCAUCACCGAUCAUAAGAGCUCCUUUGUAAGCCAUGAAAAACUUAAAAGAAUUGAUACCUACAAUCAGAAAACAAAGAUGUACUUACUACGUGAAAUAAAUUCCUCAGAGCCCUUCCACAGGGUUAUUGCCUCAUAAUAAACCAAAUUAUCUAAAAUGCAAAAAGGAAGUAAAAUUAUAACCUUUCUCCUUGACCAUGAGCUCCAUUUCUCUUGCAACUGUUUCAUCCCAUUUGGUAAUAGCCAUAUGGAAACCAUAAUCCAUGCAAGACUUCUUCGCCUUCUUUUCAUAGGCUUUGAAACCGGCCGUUAAACUCCCAUCAAUUGGUAUGGCAAAGUCAAUGUGCAUUGUCGUCCCACCAGCCAAUGCUGCGGCCUGGCCACUGAAGAAGUCAUCCUUCGUUACAGUGUUCAUAAACUCAAACUCUAGAUGAGUAUGAGGAUCAAUGCCUCCUGUUAGUAAACAAAAAGAUGCAAUCAUAUGGUAUGUCAAAAUCUGAUGAUGAUGAUGUCAAAUUGACAUCAAGAUGAAAUGUAAGAAACUAAAUUCAUGCAUACAAGUGACAUCGUUACGGUGAUUCGUUUAAGAAGCAUUUAACUAUUGUAUAGGUGUUAGAGCAUCAACAACAAUAGAACCCAUCUUAGGUUGACUAAGUGGACUCAACUAUGCCACAACACUUUUAAUUAAGUAAAUCACUCACUUUUCACACCAAUGAUGUAGUUCUUAAAGAACUUCAAUUGGUCCCACAUUGGUCUGCAUAAGAGGGACAUAGCGCUCCUUUGAAUUUCACACAAACUCUUCACUAUUCUUAAUUAUUGCUAAGAAUGGAUUGCUUUUAUAACAAUACAUUUUCACCCUAGAUAUGAAGUGGAACACUCCGAUGGUAAAACCUCAGAGAACAAAUAAGAGCCUACGAAAUACCAAUUCAAACACAAACAACAAACAUGAUAUCAACCCUGACACGUAGGCAUCAACAAUAAUACGUUGAAAUGGAAGUGAUCAUUGAUCGUAUGUAUCCACACGUGUCAGUGUCAGUGUCAUAUAAAUGUUAGUCACCGAGACACACCUUCAACCUAAAGUGUCAAAUAUAAGCCAGGUUUUAAAAAAUUGUCGCAACCGCAUAGGUGUAAGUACUACAUAGUUAUAAACCCAGAAAGAAUCAUCAUUGGAAGUGUUGUAAGAUUAAAAAUCAAAGGUCUAACCUGGCAUAACAAACUUGCCAGUAGCAUCUAUGACACGCACCUCAUCUCCAACCUGGCAAUACCGAAAUUACAAAAGUAAAAAAUCCUAGGACAGAAAGCAUAAAGUUGAAUACAAAAUUUGUGAAAACACUUUCUAUUUUCAUUUCUUAAGAAUUGUGUUCAUUUUAACAUGAUAAGUGUCUUGGAGUAAAUAAUUGCAAGUUAAGAAUGAUUCAUUUGAGAAAUAAUACAGUGAUAGUUGGAUUAACAACAACGAUGACACCGUCUUCAAUAUAAACAUCGGCGAUUUGUUGAUGGUGAGCAUUAACCACAGUACCGCCUUUGAUCAACAACUUGGAUGAUGAUGGAAUUGAAGGUCCACAGGAAGAGUCUCCGUACCCGAUUCCAGCUUCACAAAACUGAAUUUCAAAAUCCAAAUUCAAAACUCGAUGAUAAGAGGUGUAGAUAUGGGUCGGUGUCGGACACCAUUAGAUAUUUGCAUUCUAUUUCUAGUUACUCCUGGAAAAUGCAAACAAGUGUAGUUAAUUGUUUUCUGUUAAUAAAAUAAACAAAGCUUAGGAGAUUGAACUAAAUCAGAUUGUUAUAUUAGAAUUUAGAUUCACAUCAUUCAUUGAUUAAUACAACAGCUUCCAACAAUUAAAAUACAAACCCUAUUCAAAAUCAAACAAUGGAAGAAAUAAUCUAAAGCCAAACUCAUAAAUAAUCAAACGAUCAUUCAUGAAGGAAUAAUUGAAAUAGAAACAAUAUCAAAAC
rnacentral:lncRNA from 1 species